rnacentral:RNase_P_RNA from 1 species
CGAGUUGGCCGGGCGGCCGCGGGCCGCAGGAGAAAUCCUGCGGUUCGAGGAAAGUCCGGACUUCACAGAGCAGGGUGAUUGCUAACGGCAAUCCGAGGUGACUCGCGGGACAGUGCCACAGAAAACAGACCGCCACCCUUGGGUGGUAAGGGUGAAACGGUGCGGUAAGAGCGCACCAGCGGACCGGGUGACCGGUUCGGCUCGGUAAACCCCACCCGAAGCAAGGCCAAAAGGCUGUGUUCGCACAGCUGCGGAAGUGUUCGAGGGCUGCUCGCCCGAGCUUCCGGGUAGGCCGCUCGAGGUACCCGGCGACGGUGUGCCCAGAUGGAUGGUCGCCGCUGCGUGGCCGCGGCUAGCCCGCGGCUGUGCGGAACAGGAUCCGGCUUACAGGCCAACUCGCCCG